rnacentral:rRNA from 1 species
UACGUAGGGUGCGAGCGUUAAUCGGAAUUACUGGGCGUAAAGCGUGCGCAGGCGGUUUUGUAAGCCAGGUGUGAAAUCCCCGGGCUCAACCUGGGAAUGGCAUUUGGGACUGCAAGGCUUGAGUGCGGCAGAGGAGACUGGAAUUCCUGGUGUAGCAGUGAAAUGCGUAGAUAUCAGGAGGAACACCGAUGGCGAAGGCAGGUCUCUGGGCUGACACUGACGCUCAUGCACGAAAGCGUGGGGAGCAAACAGG